UACGAAGGGUGCAAACGUUGCUCGGAAUCAUUGGGCGUAAAGCGCACGUAGGCGCCUUGCAAGUCGGAUGUGAAAGUCCCACGGCUCAACCGUGGACGUGCAUCCGAAACUGCUCGGCUCGAGUAUGGAAGAGGGUCGCGGAAUUCCCGGUGUAGAGGUGAAAUUCGUAGAUAUCGGGAGGAACACCAGUGGCGAAGGCGGCGACCUGGGCCAAUACUGACGCUGAGGUGGCGA
rnacentral:rRNA from 1 species